UGGGUAACCUGCCUCAAAGAGGGGAAUAGCCUCCCGAAAAGGGAAGAUUAAUACCGCAUAAUAUGUUUAGGUCGCAUGACUUUAACAUCAAAGGAUUUUCUUUUAGAAAUUCCACUUUGAGAUGGACCCGCGGCGCAUUAGCUAGUUGGUGAGGUAACGGCUCACCAAGGCAACGAUGCGUAGCCGACCUGAGAGGGUGAUCGGCCACAUUGGAACUGAGACACGGUCCAGACUCCGUAGGAGG
rnacentral:rRNA from 1 species